ACGAACGCUGGCGGCGUGCUUAACACAUGCAAGUCGAACGGAAAGGCCCUGCUUUUGUGGGGUGCUCGAGUGGCGAACGGGUGAGUAACACGUGAGUAACCUGCCCUUGACUUUGGGAUAACUUCAGGAAACUGGGGCUAAUACUGGAUAGGAGCUCCUGCUGCAUGGUGGGGGUUGGAAAGUUUCGGCGGUUGGGGAUGGACUCGCGGCUUAUCAGCUUGUUGGUGGGGUAGUGGCUUACCAAGGCUUUGACGGGUAGCCGGCCUGAGAGGGUGACCGGCCACAUUGGGACUGAGAUACGGCCCAGACUCCUACGGGAGGCAGCAGUGGGGAGUAUUGCACAAUGGGCGGAAGCCUGAUGCAGCAGCGCCGCGUGCGGGAUGACGGCCUUCGGGUUGUAAACCGCUUUCGCCUGUGACGAAGCGUGAGUGACGGUAAUGGGUAAAGAAGCACCGGCUAACUACGUG
rnacentral:rRNA from 1 species